GAGAACAGUCUUCCUGCCACUUUCCAUUCAUGUCUGCGUGACUCCAAUCUAAAACAGAUUUUUGGGGGAGCCCUUGAUUGUAACCUCCAACAGAGAAAGUCAUGCUAGGCAGAUUCUCCGGAGACAGGCCCUGAUAUGCUAGUAAGAGCCUUUGCUGAGAACGUUAGGAUUUACAAAACCUCUCCAAAGACAGACUUUCAUUUGAUCCCCACAGCAAUCUCAUGGCGAGAUCACUGAGGCUCAAACAGGCACAGCAGUAAUGGAAGCACAGGAACUGAAACACAUCUCUGCUAUCUCAUGGGUCUUGCUGUGUCGCCCAUGCUGAAGGGCGAUGGUGCGAUCAUGGCACACUGCAACUUUUAACUCUUGGACUCAGUGAUCCUCCUAUUUCACCCUCCUGAGUAGCUGGG